rnacentral:rRNA from 2 species
UUAAGCGACUAAGCGUACACGGUGGAUGCCCUGGCAGUCAGAGGCGAUGAAGGACGUGCUAAUCUGCGAAAAGCGUCGGUAAGGUGAUAUGAACCGUUAUAGCCGGCGAUGUCCGAAUGGGGAAACCCAGUGCAAUUCGUUGCACUAUCGUUAACUGAAUACAUAGGUUAACGAGGCGAACCGGGGGAACUGAAACAUCUAAGUACCCCGAGGAAAAGAAAUCAACCGAGAUUCCCCCAGUAGCGGCGAGCGAACGGGGAGCAGCCCAGAGUCUGAAUCAGCUUGUGUGUUAGUGGAACGGUCUGGAAAGUCCGACGGUACAGGGUGAUAGUCCCGUACACCAAAAUGCACAGGCUGUGAACUCGAAGAGUAGGGCGGGACACGUGGUAUCCUGUCUGAAUAUGGGGGGACCAUCCUCCAAGGCUAAAUACUCCUGACUGACCGAUAGUGAACCAGUACCGUGAGGGAAAGGCGAAAAGAACCCCGGCGAGGGGAGUGAAAAAGAACCUGAAACCGUGUACGUACAAGCAGUGGGAGCACCUUUAUGGUGUGACUGCGUACCUUUUGUAUAAUGGGUCAGCGACUUAUAUUCUGUAGCAAGGUUAACCGUAUAGGGGAGCCGCAGGGAAACCGAGUCUUAACUGGGCGUUAAGUUGCAGGGUAUAGACCCGAAACCCGGUGAUCUAGCCAUGGGCAGGUUGAAGGUUGGGUAACACUAACUGGAGGACCGAACCGACUAAUGUUGAAAAAUUAGCGGAUGACUUGUGGCUGGGGGUGAAAGGCCAAUCAAACCGGGAGAUAGCUGGUUCUCCCCGAAAGCUAUUUAGGUAGCGCCUCGUGAAUUCAUCUUCGGGGGUAGAGCACUGUUUCGGCUAGGGGGUCAUCCCGACUUACCAACCCGAUGCAAACUACGAAUACCGAAGAAUGUUAUCACGGGAGACACACGGCGGGUGCUAACGUCCGUCGUGAAGAGGGAAACAACCCAGACCGCCAGCUAAGGUCCCAAAGUCAUGGUUAAGUGGGAAACGAUGUGGGAAGGCACAGACAGCCAGGAUGUUGGCUUAGAAGCAGCCAUCAUUUAAAGAAAGCGUAAUAGCUCACUGGUCGAGUCGGCCUGCGCGGAAGAUGUAACGGGGCUAAACCAUGCACCGAAGCUGCGGCAGCGACACGAUGUGUUGUUGGGUAGGGGAGCGUUCUGUAAGCCUGCGAAGGUGACCUGUGAGGGUUGCUGGAGGUAUCAGAAGUGCGAAUGCUGACAUAAGUAACGAUAAAGCGGGUGAAAAGCCCGCUCGCCGGAAGACCAAGGGUUCCUGUCCAACGUUAAUCGGGGCAGGGUGAGUCGACCCCUAAGGCGAGGCCGAAAGGCGUAGUCGAUGGGAAACAGGUUAAUAUUCCUGUACUUGGUGUUACUGCGAAGGGGGGACGGAGAAGGCUAUGUUAGCCGGGCGACGGUUGUCCCGGUUUAAGCAUGUAGGCUGGUUAUCCAGGCAAAUCCGGAUAAUCAAGGCUGAGGUGUGAUGACGAGGCACUACGGUGCUGAAGUAACAAAUGCCCUGCUUCCAGGAAAAGCCUCUAAGCAUCAGGUAACAUCAAAUCGUACCCCAAACCGACACAGGUGGUCAGGUAGAGAAUACCAAGGCGCUUGAGAGAACUCGGGUGAAGGAACUAGGCAAAAUGGUGCCGUAACUUCGGGAGAAGGCACGCUGGUGUGUAGGUGAAGUCCCUGCGGAUGGAGCUGAGACCAGUCGAAGAUACCAGCUGGCUGCAACUGUUUAUUAAAAACACAGCACUGUGCAAACACGAAAGUGGACGUAUACGGUGUGACGCCUGCCCGGUGCCGGAAGGUUAAUUGAUGGGGUUAUCCGUAAGGAGAAGCUCUUGAUCGAAGCCCCGGUAAACGGCGGCCGUAACUAUAACGGUCCUAAGGUAGCGAAAUUCCUUGUCGGGUAAGUUCCGACCUGCACGAAUGGCGUAAUGAUGGCCAGGCUGUCUCCACCCGAGACUCAGUGAAAUUGAACUCGCUGUGAAGAUGCAGUGUACCCGCGGCAAGACGGAAAGACCCCGUGAACCUUUACUAUAGCUUGACACUGAACAUUGAGCCUUGAUGUGUAGGAUAGGUGGGAGGCUUUGAAGCGUGGACGCCAGUCUGCGUGGAGCCAACCUUGAAAUACCACCCUUUAAUGUUUGAUGUUCUAACGUUGGCCCCUUAUCGGGGUUGCGGACAGUGUCUGGUGGGUAGUUUGACUGGGGCGGUCUCCUCCCAAAGCGUAACGGAGGAGCACGAAGGUUAGCUAAUCCUGGUCGGACAUCAGGAGGUUAGUGCAAUGGCAUAAGCUAGCUUGACUGCGAGCGUGACGGCGCGAGCAGGUGCGAAAGCAGGUCAUAGUGAUCCGGUGGUUCUGAAUGGAAGGGCCAUCGCUCAACGGAUAAAAGGUACUCCGGGGAUAACAGGCUGAUACCGCCCAAGAGUUCAUAUCGACGGCGGUGUUUGGCACCUCGAUGUCGGCUCAUCACAUCCUGGGGCUGAAGUAGGUCCCAAGGGUAUGGCUGUUCGCCAUUUAAAGUGGUACGCGAGCUGGGUUUAGAACGUCGUGAGACAGUUCGGUCCCUAUCUGCCGUGGGCGCUGGAGAAUUGAGGGGGGCUGCUCCUAGUACGAGAGGACCGGAGUGGACGCAUCACUGGUGUUCGGGUUGUCAUGCCAAUGGCACUGCCCGGUAGCUAAAUGCGGAAGAGAUAAGUGCUGAAAGCAUCUAAGCACGAAACUUGCCCCGAGAUGAGUUCUCCCUGAGACUUUAAGUCUCCUGAAGGAACGUUGAAGACGACGACGUUGAUAGGCCGGGUGUGUAAGCGCAGCGAUGCGUUGAGCUAACCGGUACUAAUGAACCGUGAGGCUUAACCUU